rnacentral:rRNA from 1 species
UACUAGAGUAGCACUCGCAUAUCAAUAAGCGGAGGAAAAGAAACUAACAAGGAUUCCCCUAGUAACGGCGAGUGAAGCGGGAAGAGCUCAAAUUUGAAAUCUUCAAGGGUUUCCCUUGACGAAUUGUAGUUUAAAGAAGUGUUUUCUGUUAGAGAGGUGGUAAAAGUUCUUUGGAAUAGGACAUCAUAGAGGGUGAGAAUCCCGUAUUUGACCAUUACUUCUACUAACGUUGUGAUACACUUUCAAAGAGUCGGAUUGUUUGGGAAUGCAGUCCAAAAUGGGUGGUAAAUUUCAUCUAAAGCUAAAUAUUGGCGAGAGACCGAUAGCGAACAAGUACCGUGAGGGAAAGAUGAAAAGAACUUUGAAAAGAGAGUUAAACAGUACGUGAAAUUGUCAAAAGGGAAGCGUUUGACACCAGUGUUGUUUUUCCGAAAAUCAAUUAUGAAUGGCUUGAUUUUAAGUUUCAUGACCUUAAAAGCUUGUUUCUUAUUUUUCAUGUCUUUCGUAAUGCACUUUUCGGUUAACAAGUCAACAUCAAUUUCUUUUGUUGUAAAAGGUUAAGAGGAAGGUGGCUUUACUUUCGGGUAAAGUGUUUAUAGCCUUUUAACUCUGCAAUCGGAGAGAUUGAGGUCUGCAGCGUAGAUCCUUCGGGGUUAGAUACGUUUGUGCUAAGUUAUAGCUUUUCAUAGACAACUUGUUGACUAUGUUAAGUCUUGUAAUUUACUCGCAGAUGCUAUUUUACCUACGCUUAGGAUGUUGAAGAUAUGCGCGACACG